rnacentral:rRNA from 1 species
AAUAUUGCACAAUGGAGGGAACUCUGAUGCAGCAACGCCGCGUGAGUGAAGAAGGUUUUCGGAUCGUAAAACUCUGUCAUUGGGGAAGAAUAAAUGACGGUACCCAAUGAGGAAGCCCCGGCUAACUACGUGCCAGCAGCCGCGGUAAUACGUAGGGGGCGAGCGUUGUCCGGAAUUACUGGGCGUAAAGGGUACGUAGGCGGCUAUAUAAGGUCGGUUGGGAAUACCCGGGGUUAAACCUGGAAUUGCAUUUGAAACUGGGUAGCUUGAGUGCAGGAGAGGAAAGUGGAAUUCCUAGUGUAGCGGUGAAAUGCGUAGAGAUUAGGAGGAACACCAGUGGCGAAGGCGACUUUCUGGACUGUAACUGACGCUGAGGUACGAAAGCGUGGGUAGCGAACA